rnacentral:rRNA from 1 species
ACCAACAGGGAUUGCCCUAGUAACGGCGAGUGAAGCGGCAACAGCUCAAAUUUGAAAUCUGGCUCUUUCAGAGUCCGAGUUGUAAUUUGCAGAGGGCGCUUUGGCUUUGGCAGCGGUCCAAGUUCCUUGGAACAGGACGUCACAGAGGGUGAGAAUCCCGUACGUGGUCGCUAGCUAUUGCCGUGUAAAGCCCCUUCGACGAGUCGAGUUGUUUGGGAAUGCAGCUCUAAAUGGGAGGUAAAUUUCUUCUAAAGCUAAAUAUUGGCCAGAGACCGAUAGCGCACAAGUAGAGUGAUCGAAAGAUGAAAAGCACUUUGGAAAGAGAGUCAAACAGCACGUGAAAUUGUUGAAAGGGAAGCGCUUGCAGCCAGACUUGCUUGCAGUUGCUCAUCCGGGCUUUUGCCCGGUGCACUCUUCUGCAGGCAGGCCAGCAUCAGUUUGGGCGGUGGGAUAAAGGUCUCUGUCAUGUACCUCUCUUCGGGGAGGCCUUAUAGGGGAGGCGACAUACCACCAGCCUAGACUGAGGUCCGCGCAUCUGCUAGGAUGCUGGCGUAAUGGCUGUAAGCGGCCCGUCUUGAAACACGGACCAAGGAGUCUAACAUCUAUGCGAGUGUUUGGGUGUCAAGCCCGAGCGCGUAAUGAAAGUGAACGGAGGUGGGAACCCGCAAGGGUGCACCAUCGACCGAUCCUGAAGUUUACGGAAGGAUUUGAGUAAGAGCAUGGCUGUUGGGACCCGAAAGAUGGUGAACUAUGCUUGAAUAGGGUGAAGCCAGAGGAAACUCUGGUGGAGGCUCGCAGCGGUUCUGACGUGCAAAUCGAUCGUCAAAUUUGGGCAUAGGGGCGAAAGACUAAUCGAACUAUCUAGUAGCUGGGUCCUGC